AUACGGAGGAUCCGAGCGUUAUCCGGAUUUAUUGGGUUUAAAGGGUGCGCAGGCGGCCAUUUAAGUCAGCGGUUAAAUCGUGGGGCUCAACCCCAUUCUGCCGUUGAUACUGGGUGGCUUGAUUGCGGUCGAGGUUGGCGGAAUUCGUUGUGUAGCGGGGAAAUGCAUAGAUAUGACGAAGAACACCGAUUGCGUAGGCAGCUGACCAGAUCGCAAAUGACGCUCAUGCACGAAAGUGCGGGGAUCGAACAGGAUUAGAUACCCUGGUAGUCCGCACAGUAAACGAUGAAUACUUGUUUUCGGCGAUAUAAUGUCGGAGGCAAAGCGAAAGCGAUAAGUAUUCCACCUGGGGAGUACGCCGGCAACGGUGAAACUCAAAUGAAUUGGCGGGG
rnacentral:rRNA from 1 species